UGAAGAGUUUUCAGAGGGAGAAGGGCAAGGUCAGGUUUGUUUCAGAAAGGUGGUGCUGGUGAGCUACAGUACCAGCACUGUAUUCUAGCAGAAAUAACAUCCAGGGGCCAGUGGCAAAGACAGGAGCACAGGUGGGGUCAACUUCCCCCCAAAUGGCACCUUCGUUGGGGAUUGGAUCUGCUCAAAAAUCUUCAUGUGAAGAGGGGAACAGGGCCAUGGACGGACAAACAUCCACUAAGAGGCAGAGGCUCCCACACCACCAGCUAAGUUCCACGCCCCACGGGACUGUUUCCAUCUGUAGGUGAAAUGAAAUUCCACCUGGCUACACAAGCCUGAAACUUGGAAGGCAUCGUUCACUCCUCCCUUUCUCAUUUAUCACCACCAGUCAAUUAACUCCUGUGGAUCACACCUCUUAGCUACCUCUUACAAAAGGUCACCUCUUGGCUUUUUAUUUGCCCACGUAAUAAGGAAAUCCCAGCUCCUCCCCUGCCCCAACACACACCUCACAAGGGUCACAACCUCAGGGCCUUUACCUGUUC